rnacentral:rRNA from 1 species
AGAGCGAACGCUGGCGGCAGGCCUAACACAUGCAAGUCGAGCGCGUGUAGCAAUACACGAGCGGCAGACGGGAGAGUAACACGUGGGAACGCGCCCUUCGGUUCGGAAUAACUCAGGGAAACUUGAGCUAAUACCGGAUACGCCCUUACGGGGAAAGAUUUAUUGCCGAAGGAACGGCCCGCGUCCGAUUAGCUAGUUGGUGAGGUAACGGCUCACCAAGGCGACGAUCGGUAGCUGGUCUGAGAGGAUGACCAGCCUCACUGGGACUGAGACACGGCCCAGACUCCUACGGGAGGCAGCAGUGGGGAAUAUUGGACAAUGGGCGCAAGCCUGAUCCAGCCAUGCCGCGUGGAUGAUGAAGGCCUUAGGGUUGUAAAGUCCUUUAACGGGGAAGAUAAUGACGGUACCGUAGAAUAAGCCCGGCUAACUUCGCGCCAGCAGCCGC